rnacentral:rRNA from 1 species
AUCAUUACCGAGCGUGGGUCCCCUGUGGCCCCCUUUCCCGGGGGCCCGGGGUUGACCCUAGACCUCCCACCCUUGUCGAUUGUACCGUGUUGCUUCGGCGGGCCCGCCAUCGGCCGCCGGGGGGCUCGUGACUUGUGCGCGUUGCCCCCGGGCCCGUGCCCGCCGGAGACCUCCCUCGAAAUGCUACCGUGGUCUGAAAUGCUGUCUGAGUGGGAAUGAUGUGAGAAAUUGAUCAGUCAAAACUUUCAACAAUGGAUCUCUUGGUUCCGGCAUCGAUGAAGAACGCAGCGAAAUGCGAUAAGUAAUGCGAAUUGCAGAAUUCCGUGAGUCAUCGAAUCUUUGAACGCACAUUGCGCCCCCCGGCUGCCCGGGGGGCAUGCCUGUCCGAGCGUCAUUGCCAUCCCCUCAAGCUCCGCUUGGCUGGUUGGGUCGACGUCCACCCGUGGCCAUUGUGCCAGGGGGGACGGACCCGAAAGGCAGUGGCGGCUCCCGGAGGGUGGUCCCUUGGGGCGGUGAGACAUGGGUUGUCAUCUUCCACCGCUCUGUUGGCCACGCUCCGGGGGUCUGUCGAACGAUUGGUCUUCCCCUUUAGGUUGACCUCGGAUCAGGUAGGGAUACCCGCUGAACUUAAGCAUAUCAAUAAGCGGAGGAAAAGAAACCAACCGGGAUUGCCUCAGUAACGGCGAGUGAAGCGGCAAGAGCUCAAAUUUGAAAUCUGGCCCCCCUUGGGGGUCCGAGUUGUAAUUUGGAGAGGAUGCUUCGGGUUCGGUCCCGGUCCAAGUGCCCUGGGACGGGCCGUCGGAGAGGGUGAGAAUCCCGUCUGCGACCGGUGACUGGGCCUGGGUGAAGCUCCCUCGACGAGUCGAGUUGUUUGGGAAUGCAGCUCUAAAUGGGUGGUAAAUUUCAUCUAAAGCUAAAUAUGGGCCGGAGACCGAUAGCGCACAAGUAGAGUGAUCGAAAGAUGAAAAGCACUUUGGAAAGAGAGUCAAACAGCACGUGAAAUUGUUGAAAGGGAAGCGCUUGCGAUCAGACUCGCCCGGGGAGGUUCAGCUGGCACUUGUGCCGGUGCAUUGCUACCCGGGCGGGCCAGCGUCGGUUCGGACGGCCUGUCAAAGGCCCCCGGAAGGUAGCGCCCCUUGGGGCGUCUUAUAGCCGGGGGUGUCAUGCGGCCUGUCCGGACCGAGGAACGCGCCUUUGGGCUCGGACGCUGGCGUAAUGGUCAUAAGCGGCCCGUCUUGAAACACGGACCAAGGAGUCUAACAUCCACGCGAGUGUUCGGGUGUUCAAAACCCGUCCGCGCAGUGAAAGCGAACGGAGGUGGGAACCCCCUUGGGGUGCACCAUCGACCGAUCCUGAUGUCUUCGGAUGGAUUUGAGUAGGAGCGUGGCUGUUGGGACCCGAAAGAUGGUGAACUAUGCCUGAAUAGGGCGAAGCCAGAGGAAACUCUGGUGGAGGCUCGCAGCGGUUCUGACGUGCAAAUCGAUCGUCAAAUUUGGGUAUAGGGGCGAAAGACUAAUCGAA